ensembl:piRNA 21ur-4863 ncRNA
UUUUCAGUUGAUUGAUGAUGA